rnacentral:rRNA from 1 species
UACGUAGGGUCCGAGCGUUGUCCGGAAUUACUGGGCGUAAAGAGCUCGUAGGUGGUUUGUCGCGUUGUUCGUGAAAACUCACAGCUUAACUGUGGGCGUGCGGGCGAUACGGGCAGACUUGAGUACUGCAGGGGAGACUGGAAUUCCUGGUGUAGCGGUGGAAUGCGCAGAUAUCAGGAGGAACACCGGUGGCGAAGGCGGGUCUCUGGGCAGUAACUGACGCUGAGGAGCGAAAGCGUGGGGAGCGAGCAGG